GGAAUCUUCGGCAAUGGACGAAAGUCUGACCGAGCAACGCCGCGUGAGUGAAGAAGGUUUUCGGAUCGUAAAACUCUGUUGGUAGAGAAGAACGUUGGUGAGAGUGGAAAGCUCGUCAAGUGACGGUAACUACCCAGAAAGGGACGGCUAACUACGUGCUAG
rnacentral:rRNA from 1 species